UUAGCAUGGAAUAAUGGAAUAGGACGACUCGCGUCUUUUUGUUGGUGUCUAGGACCGCCGUAAUGAUUAAUAGGGACAGUCGGGGGCAUCAGUAUUCAAUUGUCAGAGGUGAAAUUCUUGGAUUUAUUGAAGACUAACUACUGCGAAAGCAUUUGCCAAGGAUGUUUUCAUUAAUCAGGAACGAAAGUUAGGGGAUCGAAGACGAUCAGAUACCGUCGUAGUCUUAACCAUAAACUAUGCCGACUAGGGAUCGGACGAUGUUAUUUUUUGACUCGUUCGGCACCUUACGAGAAAUCAAAGUUUUUGGGCUCCAGGGGGAGUAUGGUCGCAAGGCUGAAACUUAAAGAAAUUGACGGAAGGGCACCACCAGGUGUGGAGCCUGCGGCUUAUUUUGACUCCACACGGGGAAACUCACCAGGUCCAGA
rnacentral:rRNA from 1 species